GAACUGGUGAGUAACACGUGGGAAACCUGCCCAGAAGCGGGGGAUAACACCUGGAAACAGAUGCUAAUACCGCAUAACAACUUGGACCGCAUGGUCCGAGYUUGAAAGAUGGCUUCSGCUAUCACUUUUGGAUGGKCCCGCGGCGUAUUARCUARAUGGKGGGGUAACGGCUCACCAUGGCAAUGAUACKUARCCGACCUGAGAGGGUAAUCSGCCACAUUGGGACUGARACACGGCCCAAACUCCUACGGGAGGSAGCAGUAGGGAAUCUUCCACAAUGGACGAAAGUCUGAUGGAGCAACSCCSCGUGAGUGAAGAAGGGUUUCGGCUCGUAAAACUCUGUUGUUAAAGAARAACAUAUCUGAGAGUAACUGUUCAGGUAUUGACGGUAUUUAACCAGAAAGCCACGGCUAACUACGU
rnacentral:rRNA from 1 species